UUGUCACAUUUUGAAAGCUAAAUAUUAAUUUGAUCGGCUACAAAGUUUUGCUUGAAAUUUUUGUGACUUACAGCUAUAAUCUUAGGUAGCGAGCUUUCGCUGCAAAAACAGAGAAUGGUACUUUUUCUAACAUGUGUGACUUUUUUUCUAACGGUUACUAUGAUGGAUUCACGUGCUCUCAAUUUUGAGGUCGAGAAUGAAGACCUAAAAGCUGAAUUAAAAGACUCUCUUCUUUCCGAAAUCAUCGCGGGACAUCCGAGCCCGUCGCGGCCCUUCUUUGUUCGAGUUCACACGAAUACUCACGACAACAGGCGCUUAACGUGUGGGGGCACUAUCAUACAUCAAUAUUUUGUGCUCACAGCCGCUCACUGUAUUUUAGACGCAGCUAAUAGUUACGUGGAGGAGGGUGACUUUGCAUCAGGGAUCUUCAAAGCUGCCCACAAAUUUCACUCCGUCUCCAAAUUCUACAUUCACGAACGCUAUGACAGAAGGAGAGUUCAAAAUGACAUUGCUGUCGCACAAACCGGAGCGUUUUUUCCGCAGGAAAAAGUCAUCCCUCUUUGUGACAAAUCGGCAAAACUUCGGACAUUACUCGGAACCUGUGGGCUUGGCCGAAUCUCAAUUGAAGGCUACAGAGAUCCGGAAACACUUAUGGAAACGUAUUUCAACGAAAACUUCUGGUGGCGUUUUGUACGCUGGUUCCUCCGAAAACCAGAUAUUUUGCAGGCAAAACGGAUCCUCGGUGACAAUGCCAUAUGUAAUGGAGAUAGCGGAUCACCCUUGUAUGUUUUGAAUGGAUUGUAUAGGGAGCCGCAAUGUGUUUAUGGAGUGACUAGUUACUUCACAGGCUUCAAGGGCCAACCUGAUUGCCAAGGAAGGAGCUUUUUUGCCAAUGUUGUGUUUUUUCGAAAGUGGAUAGAAACUAUAGUUUCUCAAAACUCCGAUGAAUGAUUUUGUCAAUGACAAAU